ensembl:snRNA U4 U4 spliceosomal RNA
AACUUUGCACAGUGGCAGUAUCAUAGCCAGUGACGCUUAUUCGAGGCGCGAUUAUUGCUAACUGAAAUAAGAAUAUAGGGCUCAGAUAGAUAUUCCUUCAGGCUCUUUCUUUCUCUAAAGCUUUAUUUUCAUAUUACACAAUA